AACGAACGCUGGCGGCAGGCCUAACACAUGCAAGUCGAGCGCCCCGCAAGGGGAGCGGCGGCCGGGUGAGUAACGCGUGGGAAUAUGCCCUUUGCUACGGAAUAGUCUCGGGAAACUGGGGGUAAUACCGUGUACGCCCUUUGGGGGAAAGAUUUAUCGGCGAAGGAUUAGCCCGCGUUGGAUUAGGUAGUUGGUGGGGUAAUGGCCUACCAAGCCGACGAUCCAUAGCUGGUUUGAGAGGAUGAUCAGCCACACUGGGACUGAGACACGGCCCAGACUCCUACGGGAGGCAGCAGUGGGGAAUCUUAGACAAUGGGGGCAACCCUGAUCUAGCCAUGCCGCGUGAGUGAUGAAGGCCUUAGGGUUGUAAAGCUCUUUCAGCUGGGAAGAUAAUGACGGUACCAGCAGAAGAAGCCCCGGCUAACUCCGUG
rnacentral:rRNA from 1 species